GUCAGGGUAGCGCAGCGGAGAGGCGCAGUGCCAAGUAUCGGCAAAGGACGCAGGUUCGACUCCUGCACCUGACA
rnacentral:tRNA from 3 species